UCCCUCCCCCGCCCCUCUCCUACGCCCCCUGAUUGGGUAAGAAUGGAGGGCGAGCUUGAACAUACACUAGCGGCAGAGUCCUUUGCCCUCCGCCUCCCGCUAUAAUGAGGCGUCCCGAAACCCACUCUCCCUCCAGCCCAUCACUGGCGGCUUCCUCCUUCUGUCUUCUUUCUCCCCGCCCCCACUCUUCCCCCUUCCCCCUCUCCAUGUACCCCACGCCAGCCGCCAGCGCGCACUCCUGAAUCCUCCGGCGCCUGCGCAGGAGUGGUCGAGCCUCUUCUUGGUGGCCAGCACGUGGGGUCUGUUUGUCCUGGGUGCUGCGGGGUGUCUUUCAGUUGGAGGACUGUGGGACCCGAAGAGGGCGGUGGGCACAGAAGGGCCAUGGCGCCGGCAGAAAUCCUCGACGGGAAGGUGGUCUCCGCCCCCUCGUGUUGAAGGCGGGUCCGUGAUCAUUUUCGCUGUGGCUGUCCUUCAGAGCCCCCCGGGACCCGGGAGCUGAUCAGUCCUUUCUUGGGCCAGAAGUACUCUUGUUGAAUGCGUGAUUGUGAGAAGCUUCUUGUGGAAUCGUGCCGUGUGUUUCCUUUCCACGGAAGUGUGAAACCUAAAGUUCCCCAGGAUUGCAUUAGUAGAGGAGUGCUUUAAUGCCUUACUGUAGAUGUGAAGGUUGAAGUUGCGGGCAAGGAAGAUGCGUUCUUUUUGAAUCCUGUUUGUGGGACCCUUGACCUCGUCUGUCACUUAAUAACGGAUUGGAAUCAGAGCCACACCUAUUAAACUACCAAGAACCUCAACUGAGGCAGAGAUUGACUAGUGUCAGUGCUGGAAAGCUUGCUAGAGGUGACGUAUGAGAUUAUUUUAUUCCCUGUACACCUAAAGGGAUGCUUGAAACUUAUCAAAGAGACAGGGCUUCCCAAAGAAAAUGAAUCUAAUUGAGUUUGUCUGAGACUUGAAAUGAAUUUUGCUUGAUGUGGAUUAUAUUUAAAUUUUCCAUGACAAAAAAUAACCUCUGUCAAUUUCAUAUCUCAGUUAUGAGGAUGGAAACUGGCAAUAUUUUUCAUCUUUCACAUUAAAGAGGUCUCCUUACAUAGCAUAAUAUCGACUUUGACCAGCGUGAGAGGAGACCUAGUAAACUCCUUCUCUUGCAUUUCUGUGCCAUAAAGAGUUAGUUGAAAGAUUUUAUGAAACUUCAGCAAAAUGGUUAUAACAAAUUCUGGGAAAACUAACUGAAGAAAAUGAAAACAACGAAAUAUAUAUCUAAUGAAGCUUUCCUACUUUGAAUGCCACUUUGAAAGAAUGCCUUACAUCCUUCAUAUGACCACACACCAUAGUGGUAACCAGAAGCAUAAUCACUGCAGACAGCACAGAAGUGGCCAUCCCUCUUUGAACCUGGGCUGUUGAUAAUGGACCUGUUAGAACUGUUCCCAUUAAUUUUUCAUUGUCUCUCUAGUGGCAAAGAAAACACCAUAAGAAAAGCAGAAGAAAAAUUAUUUUUAAAGACAAUAAGGCAAACAUCACAAGAACUCCUUGUCAAUUUACUUGACUCUUUUUAUUUAUCUCUGGAGUUAAUGUCACUGUUUUCCAAAUCUGAGAUCUAUAUGGACACAAAGAAUGGACGUCCUCUUGGAGCACUCAAAGGCCAAUCGGUUUAUACCACCCGAUUCAUAUUGUAGAAAUACAGCAUUACCAGUCCAUUCGAUUGUAGCUUUCGCUGUGCCAUUUCAUAAGGUAGUCUGUGCAACAGACAAAGACGAGACAAGUAUCAUAUCGUAUUUUCAGAGCUGGUUUUAUCCAAGGUAGAGGAGGAAGCUAUUUUGCUACAGUGAGAGUCUUUUACACACCUUUCAAUCAUCUUAGUAGGCCUUUAUAAUGCCUAGUUUCAUUCCAUAACUGCAGAGAAGGCUUAAACUAACAAUAACCUCAGGAGAGGUAAUAUAUACAUUUAAAUUAUAGACAGCAUGGUGUAUUAAAAAGAGACCUAGACAUGCAACCAGAUGACCUGGGUUCAACUUCUAGUUCUGACAGGUCCUAGCUUUGUGAACAUGUUCAAGGUGUUUAAUCUCUCUAAGACUCAGUUUGCUCAUCAAUAAAAUGAGGAUAAUAGAGGUGUACUGGAGCCAGCUCAAACUGGUUCAUGAUAACCAGCCUUUUAGUUUUAGUGUGGGCAUUUACAUCUCAGAAAUGAGCAAAUGCUACAAAUAAGGGCUUGAUUUGUUAUUUUGUUGACUGUCGAGACUUAAG